GAUGAACGCUAGCUACAGGCUUAACACAUGCAAGUCGAGGGGAAACGAUAUUGGAAGCUUGCUUCCGAUAGGCGUCGACCGGCGCACGGGUGAGUAACGCGUAUCCAACCUGCCCAUCACUUGGGGAUAACCUUGCGAAAGUAAGACUAAUACCCAAUGACGUCUCUAGAAGACAUCUGAAAGAGAUUAAAGAUUUAUCGGUGAUGGAUGGGGAUGCGUCUGAUUAGCUUGUUGGCGGGGUAACGGCCCACCAAGGCGACGAUCAGUAGGGGUUCUGAGAGGAAGGUCCCCCACAUUGGAACUGAGACACGGUCCAAACUCCUACGGGAGGCAGCAGUGAGGAAUAUUGGUCAAUGGGCGGAAGCCUGAACCAGCCAAGUAGCGUGCAGGAAGACGGCCCUAUGGGUUGUAAACUGCUUUCAGUCGGGAAUAAAGUUAGUCUCGUGAGACUUUUUGCAUGUACCUUAUGAAUAAGGACCGGCUAAUUCCGUG
rnacentral:rRNA from 1 species